GGGCUGGUUAGCUCAGGGGCUACACCCAAAGAGAUAAAAUCAUAGAAUGGUUUGGGUUGGAAGGGACCCUAAAGAUCAUCCAUUUCCAACCCCCUGCCCUGGGCAGGGACACCUCCCACCAGACCAGGUUGCUCCAAGCCCCAUCCAGCCUGGCCUUGAACCCCUCCAGGGAUGGGGCAGCCACAACUUCUCUGGGCACCCUGUUCUAGUGACUCACCCCCCUCACAGCCAAGAAUGUCUUUCUGGUAUCUAAUCUAAAUCUCCCCUCUUCCAAUUUAAAACUGUUACCCCUUGUUCUGUCUAUGGGGUGCGGGUGUGUGACCUCUGGGCUCACUUGUCUGCACAACCAGUAACUCAGGGCACCUGUCAGUUCCUCUGCCCUCCCUUGGGAUGUGGUGGUCAAGUCUCUGCAAAGAUAUCUGUUUGCAGGAACCAAAAAAUCCUUAGAUUAGAGGUGUGUAAAAGUUACCGAAUUAGCUCUGCUCCCUGAUUGGGGUAAAGAGUUGUAAUUAUCCAUUAAUUGUUCUCUCUGCAGGAAAUGAAGGAAGCUGGGUGUGAUAUGCUGUGCAGAAGCCCAGGGACAUGAAAAUGCGGCCAAACCAGUCUGCUAAAGUCAAGACUGAAUGGAAAGAUCAGCAGGACCGUUUCUGUGGCCAGGCAGAGUUCUGCAAGCUUAAUAAUUACUUAUCGAUUUGGGUGAUGGAAUUUAUGGAGGCUCCCCUGAAGACUUUGAGGAUGGUAGGUCUGACCCAGCUGCUGACUCUAGGGCUACCCUCACCGCACCAACGGCUGAAAAGCAGACUGGACCCGCAUGGACAGUCCCGGCUGGCCACGAGAGGAGAGCACGAGGCCCCGGC
rnacentral:lncRNA from 1 species